rnacentral:piRNA from 1 species
AAGCCAUACCUUACCUGACAAACUAAAGUC